rnacentral:rRNA from 1 species
UGGUGGAGUGAUUUGUCUGGUUAAUUCCGAUAACGAACGAGACCUUAACCUGCUAAAUAGCCAGGCCGGCUCCCGCUGGUCGCAGGCUUCUUAGAGGGACUGUCGGCGUCUAGCUGACGGAAGUUUGAGGCAAUAACA